AUUGAACGCUGGCGGCAGGCUUAACACAUGCAAGUCGAACGGUAGCAGGAGAAAGCUUGCUUUCUUGCUGACGAGUGGCGGACGGGUGAGUAAUGCUUGGGAAUCUGGCUUAUGGAGGGGGAUAACUACGGGAAACUGUAGCUAAUACCGCGUAAUAUCGAAAG
rnacentral:rRNA from 1 species